GCGGGAUUCGUAUAACGGUAGUACGCUUGCCUUCCAAGCAGGUGGCACGGGUUCGACUCCCGUAUCCCGCU
rnacentral:tRNA from 1 species